CUAGAAAAGGCAAAAAGACAAAAAAAAAAAAGAUCCCUAAAGGAGAGUAAUCAAGUCCCCCUAUGAGGAGAGAAAAUUCAUUUUAUAAGUUUUUCAGCUACCAUGUUUUAGUGGGGUAUUUUUCUUUUUUCUUUUUUGGCUGCCGUGAAGCCAGGGAUCAGAUACGAGUGCCACUGUGACCUAAGCUGCAACUGUGACAACUGUGGAUCCUUAACCUACUGCGCGGGGCCAGGGAUCAAACCUGUGCCCCAGUGCUCCCAAGAUGCUUCCGAUUCUAUUGAGCCACAGCGGGAACUCCUAGUGGUUUUUCUUCUUCAUAUACAUUUUUGUCGAAGUAUAGUUGCUGUGCAAUAUUAUCUAAGAUUCAGGUGUGCCAUGCAGUGGUUUCCAAUUUUGCAAGGUCAUAUUCCAUGUAUAGUUAUUACAAAAUAAUAGCUACAUCCCCCAAGUUGUGUAAACAUAUGCUUGUAGCUUAUUUUCUACCCAAGAGCUGGUACCUCAGAAUCCCCUGUCCCUGUUACUCCCGCCCACCCCCGCCGCCAACUGGGACCCUCUAGUUUGUUCCUAUGUCUGUGAGUCGGCUAAGGGUGUCAUGCUUUUGAUCUGAACAUUUCAGGCCUCCUUUGGGACACAAAUGAAUUCAUCUCUUCAGCACUGCCUGUAAAGGAGGGAAGAGCAAUUCUCUGUUUUGUAGAGCUAUUUUUUGGACGUGGUUUUGGACAGACACCCAAGUGUUUAGCAGUCCAUUUACUCUCUUAUUCAUUCAACAGAUAUUUACUGGCUGCCUACUCUGUACCAAAGAGCGAACAUGAAACUCUGCCCUGCCCACGGGGACACAGCCAGCUGGGGAGACAAGAUGGGACACGCACACGAAGCUUAAAAACACCACCAAGAGCAAGGCUUCAGCUGUGGCUCUCCAAAGGAGUGGCAGAGAUGAUCGACCUGUUCCCCUGGAUUGUCCAAGAAGGAGCCACCGGGACAGCUGGUGACCCUCCCUUUCCAUUCGUCGGUCAGAGCUGGCU
rnacentral:lncRNA from 1 species